UCUCUUGCUGCUGUUGGGCACGUUUCUUUCCUACUUUAGCACGACUUCUACCCUAAUUUCCUCAUUGUAUAUUUCACGUUCUAAUACUAAAUUCUUCCCCUCAGUUCCCUCUAGCCCUAGCCGACAUCUACACUCCGUCAUUCACUGAAAUUAUUCACAACUAAUCCCUCCAAGUUCUUGUAUUAUUCGCGUUAAAUUUGGAUCCUUCUCGUCCUGGUUAUAAUAGACGCUCGCCUCUACGAUUCUAAACCUUGUUAUUGUCAAACGACUCUUCGACUACUCGCGCUCCCGAGUCGAACCAGGGUUAGCUGUUUGCCGAAGUUUCACGUGG